rnacentral:lncRNA from 1 species
AGGAUCAAAGAGGCAAGGAUUUUGAAAAAUCCUAGCCGCCACUGCUGAGCGGUAAUUUUUGGCGUUGGGCGGUAUCGCGAUUUGAGGCAAACCGCCUGGGCGGUGUCUUUUGAUGCUGGGCGGUCUGCAACUGUUUUGCCUAAAAAUUGAAAUUUUUGGAUGCUUGAGUGAUGAGGAGCCCUGUUUUUCCUCAGAGAAUUAUAUGAUUUGAUGAUGCACUAACCUCUA